rnacentral:rRNA from 1 species
CGUAGGGGGCUAGCGUUGUCCGGAAUCAUUGGGCGUAAAGCGCGUGUAGGCGGUCCGGUAAGUCCGCUGUGAAAGUCGGGGGCUCAACCCUCGGAUGCCGGUGGAUACUGUCGGGCUGGAGUACGGAAGAGGCGAGUGGAAUUCCUGGUGUAGCGGUGAAAUGCGCAGAUAUCAGGAGGAACACCAAUUGCGAAGGCAGCUCGCUGGGACGUUACUGACGCUGAGACGCGAAAGCGUGGGGAGCAAACAGGAUUAGAUACCCUGGUAGUCCACGCUGUAAACGAUGGGCACUAGGUGUGGGGGGUGUCGACUCCCUCCGUGCCGAAGCUAACGCAUUAAGUGCCCCGCCUGGGGAGUACGGCCGCAAGGCUA